AAUUACUAGUUCCCAAAAUUGCUUGCCAGUGGUGAGUCAGAAGGUGUCUUAUAAGACAUGCAGUGUCAGUUAUAUAUUACUGUGAACUUUCUGUCUGCAUGGUCCACAUAUUUGAGUUGAAUCAUAUUCAGGACAGACCACUGCAAGGUCUCUUGAAUGGGCUGCUUUGGUGAGUUCUUGAAGAGACUGCAUGAUGAAUUGCAGAUAGCCACUAAUAUAAGGAGUGCCUUGUGAAAACUGCCAAAACUUUUACAUCCAUGAGGUAUGAAAGAGGGGAAGAGAAAUGGCUUUUGACAAAAGGAUCACUCUGGAGACUCCAUGAAUCACAGCAGCUACAGGUACCAGGGGUGGAAAAAAGUGGAAGAACAGAAGAUGCUGGAUGAGGUGCUGGAUGAGGUGAAAGGGAGCUCAACACAGAAAAGGAGGCAACUCAUGGAGGAAAAGCAUUACAGUGUUUUGUAGGAACAUCAAGAAGGAAGCUGGAAAAUCUGGAGGAAGCUGGAGGAUGUUGAGUUUAAGUUGAGGAAGAAGAGACAAUGCAGAAAAAGAAGUUCUUUCUGAGAUCCUUAAGUUGAUUGGAAAUGGAAUUACAUGGGCUAACAUGUUUGGACACUAAGUGCUCUAAUAUUUUGCAUGAUGAAGGACUUCAGAAAUGUUUUGUAUUUUCCAGCUAUAGCGACUGACCUCAACAGAUUUUCCCUCUUCUUAUAGGCAUUGCCUUACCAGUUUCUGUUGACAUUAUAUGUAGUCUUAAGCCUAUUACGUGAACUCCAUAUAAAGUCUCAUUUAAUAUUCUUGUUUUAACAUUUUGAGAAUAGCACAAAACUCCUCACUCUCCUGGUAUUUCUGCAGCAGAAUUACUACAACUUUCCAUGUCAUGUAACUUGCAUAUUUUGCUCUAAUUAGCCCUCUCUGCUAAAUGCUUCAACUGAGAAGAUAGAACAGGCUGAUGUGAGUGAGGAUGGAUUAUUUUAAAGUGAUCAUUGCAGACAAAAGUGAAUGGUGAAGAUAUGACAGUUUUUUUUCAGUUGGAGAAACUGUUGUUUUCAGUGAAAGCCAUCACAAUAUAUGGGCUUUUAAGAGAGGAUGAUACAGCAUAUAUUUCUGUUUUUCCACUGGUGUAAAUAUUCUUUCCAGUAAUAAAAUUCUUGUGAGGACU
rnacentral:lncRNA from 7 species